rnacentral:lncRNA from 1 species
AAAUUUCAAAUACCACCCCUGUGGUUUCACACUUUCUCACUUUAGUACCCUGUGGUUUAAAGUGUAUCAAUUUAAUACCUUAUGAUUUCAUUUUUCUCUUUUCAUCGUCUCCUCCGUUAACAUUUCUUUAAAUUAUAUACAAAAAAUUUUAGAUACCCCACCUAAAUUUAUCGAAUAGUUACUUUAGUAUCCUUUAGUUUUAACUUUGUCACUGAUUUAACGAAAAAAAUUAGUAGAGAAAAUAAAAAAAAAAAUCAUGAGUUAUUAAAUUGAUAUACUUUAAACCACAUAAUAUUAAAAUAAAAAAAUACAAAACUACAGGGAACGAUAUUU